rnacentral:rRNA from 1 species
AAGUUGCUGCAGUUAAAAAGCUCGUAGUUGAAAUUCUGCUCCGGCAGGUAAGUAUCCUUCAGGAUUCGUACCACCGGGCAUCAGUCUGCAAUCUUUUUCACGGCAUUCACUUGUCGGGCUAGGGAGCAAACGUUUUACCUUGAGAAAAUUAAAGUGUUCCAGGCAGGCUUCAGCCCGAAUACAUUAACAUGGAAUAAUAAAAUAGGACUAGAGACUAUUUAUUGGUUUGAGGCUCUAGUAAUGAUUAAUAGGAACAGUCGGGGGCAUUAGUACUUAACAGUCAGAAGUGAAAUUCUAGGAUUUGUUAAAGACUAACUAAUGCGAAAGCAUUUGCCAAGCAUGUUUUCAUUAAUCAAGAACGAAAGUUAGGGGAUCAAAGACGAUUAAAUACCGUCGUAAUCUUAACUAUAAACUACACCGACUCGGAAUUGGGCAAUUUAUUAUAGAUUGCUCACCGCCGUAAGAGAAAUCAAAGUCUUUGGGUUCUUGGUGGAGUACGAUCGCAAGAUUGAAACUUAAAGGAAUUGACGGUUUUGCACCACCAUGGAGUGGAGCCUGCGGCUUAAUUUGACUCAACACGGGAAAACUUAUCAGGGUAAAAAGGUAUUGGGAUUGACAGAUUGAGAGUUCUUUCU